UGGGGAAUAUUGCACAAUGGGGGAAACCCUGAUGCAGCGACGCCGCGUGAACGAAGAAGGUAUUCGUAUCGUAAAGUUCUGUCUUAUGGGAAGAGAAUGACAUUACAAUAGAAGAAAGCUCCGGCUAAAUACGUGCCAGCAGCCGCGGUAAUACGUAGGUCCCGAGCGUUGUCCGGAUUUAUUGGGCGUAAAGCGAGCGCAGGCGGUUAGAUAAGUCUGAAGUUAAAGGCAGUGGCUCAACCAUUGUAGGCUUUGGAAACUGUUUAACUUGAGUGCAGAAGAGGAGAGUGGAUUUCCAUGUGUAGCGGUGAAAUGCGUAGAUAUAUGGAGGAACACCAGUGGCGAGGGCGACUCUCUGGUCUGUAACUGACGCUGAGGCUCGAAAGCGUGGGUAGCAAACAGG
rnacentral:rRNA from 1 species